CUGGAUAAUGCACUGCACAGAAAGGUACAUCGAGGUCACUGGGAAUGACCUGAAGGAUAUUUUCUGCAGGCAACAGGCGAUGAGUUAUGAUCUCUUUGACAUAGCCAUCCGGCGGAUCUGCGAGCUUGACAACAGGAUGUACACCAACAAGGAAGUCAAUCGUUGGAGACACAUAAUGGAAUCUGAUUUCGCGAUGCUGGCACUAGCAGGUGAGGAUCCGACAACAAACAAAUCAAUUAGGCACCAGUUCCUGGGCGAACCGGUUAAGCAUGCUAUACAGGCUUGCGGGAUGAUCACCGUACCUGCCAUGGUUAGAACUUCAUGGUGCGUAUAUUUCUGGGACAUGAAGAUAAAGUGCGUCCACAUUGCCGAUCCUGCAUACAAAUCAAUCGAAGCAGCUUCCUUCCAACAGAUUCACAAACCAAACCUGAAGGUGCUGACGCAUGCACUGUCGAGGUGUGCUAAAAUGUUCUUUGAUGGUUGGUCUCCUGACUAGGAGUUAUGGGAAGCGAGAUACAUCACGCCACUGAAACCAGAUAUCCAGGAACACGAUUCAGGCAUAAGGACGCUUCAGGCGAUAUGCGACUUCAACGGCUCGACUUUCGUCACGGACAACCGCAUGGCUACGUCCAAGGAACUAAACCAGUGGGUGCUACAUGAAGUGCUUUGUCUCUCCGGCAAUUAUGCGAAGCUCCCUGGUCGCUUCGUGCAGACCAUUGACGACUAGCUCAAGAGACCAUUGUUACUUAUGGUUCCGAAAGACAAAUAGCUCAAUAGUUUCGUUCCGUCAUUCCGAAAGAGCGACCUUCUUUUGCUGCAGCUGAUAUGCACUUAU